AGCUUUGCGCAGUGGCAGUAUCAUAGCCAAUGAGGUUUAUCUGAGGCGCAAUUAUUGCUAAUAUUUAAUCCUCACUAAAACCUUAAAGACAAUAAGAUUUAUAAUGUUAGCUAACAUUUACUGAGUGACUACUAAGUA
rnacentral:snRNA from 1 species